rnacentral:tRNA from 1 species
UGCCGGGUAGCUCAGUUGGCAGAGCAGCGGGUUGUUACCCCGAAGGCCGCAGGUUCGAUCCCUGCCUCGGCAGCCA